rnacentral:rRNA from 1 species
ACCCGCUGAACUUAAGCAUAUCAAUAAGCGGAGGAAAAGAAACCAACAGGGAUUGCCCUAGUAACGGCGAGUGAAGCGGCAACAGCUCAAAUUUGAAAUCUGGCGCAAGCCCGAGUUGUAAUUUGUAGAGGAUGCUUCUGGGCAGCGGCCGGUCUAAGUUCCUUGGAACAGGACGUCACAGAGGGUGAGAAUCCCGUAUGUGAUCGGUUGGCACCCGCUACGUAGCUCCUUCGACGAGUCGAGUUGUUUGGGAAUGCAGCUCUAAAUGGGAGGUAAAUGCCUUCUAAAGCUAAAUACCGGCCAGAGACCGAUAGCGCACAAGUAGAGUGAUCGAAAGAUGAAAAGCACUUUGGAAAGAGAGUUAAAAAGCACGUGAAAUUGUUGAAAGGGAAGCGCAUGCAACCAGACUUGUCCGCGGUGUUCCGCCGGUCUUCUGACCGGUCUACUCGCCGCAGGCGGGCCAGCAUCAUCUGGGAGCGCCGGAUAAAGGUAGCGGGAAUGUGGCCCCUCGGGGUGUUAUAGCUCGCUACACAAUACGGCGCCUCCCGGGUGAGGUCCGCGCUUCGGCUAGGAUGCUGGCGUAAUGGUUGUAUGCGGCCCGUCUUGAAACACGGACCAAGGAGUCUACCAUCUAUGCGAGUGUUCGGGUGUCAAACCCCUACGCGCAAUGAAAGUGAACGGAGGUGGGAACCGCAAGGUGCACCAUCGACCGAUCCUGAUGUCUUCGGAUGGAUUUGAGUAAGAGCAUAGCUGGUGGGACCCGAAAGAUGGUGAACUAUGCCUGAAUAGGGUGAAGCCAGAGGAAACUCUGGUGGAGGCUCGCAGCGGUUCUGACGUGCAAAUCGAUCGUCAAAUUUGGGUAUAGGGGCGAAAGACUAAUCGAACCAUCUAGUAGCUGGUUCCUGCCGAAGUUUCCCUCAGG